GAUGAACGCUAGCGGCAGGCCUAACACAUGCAGGUCGAGGGAGAGGUUAUCUUCGGGUAACCAAAACCGGCGCACGGGUGCGUAACGCGUAUACAAUCUGCCUUUCACAUAGGGAUAGCCCGAAGAAAUUUGGAUUAAUACCUAAUGGUAUAUAAGAGCGGCAUCGUUUUUAUAUUAAAGCUACGGUGGUGAAAGAUGAGUAUGCGUUCUAUUAGCUAGUUGGAGAGGUAACGGCUCCCCAAGGCGACGAUAGAUAGGGGUUCUGAGAGGGAUGUCCCCCACACUGGUACUGAGAUACGGACCAGACUCCUACGGGAGGCAGCAGUGAGGAAUAUUGGACAAUGGUCGGAAGACUGAUCCAGCCAUGCCGCGUGCAGGAUGAAGGUCCUAUGGAUUGUAAACUGCUUUUGUAAGGGAAGAAUAAGGAGUACGUGUACUUUGAUGACGGUACCUUACGAAUAAGCAUCGGCUAACUCCGUGCCAGCAGCCGCGGUAAUACGGAGGAUGCGAGCGUUAUCCGGAAUCAUUGGGUUUAAAGGGUCCGUAGGCGGGCUGAUAAGUCAGAGGUGAAAGCGCUUAGCUCAACUAAGCAACUGCCUUCGAAACUGUCAGUCUUGAAUGAUUGUGAAGUAGUUGGAAUGUGUAGUGUAGCGGUGAAAUGCUUAGAUAUUACACAGAACACCGAUAGCGAAGGCAUAUUACUAACAAUUUAUUGACGCUGAUGGACGAAAGCGUGGGGAGCGAACAGG
rnacentral:rRNA from 1 species